rnacentral:tRNA from 1 species
UCUCGGUUAGCUCAGUUGGUAGAGCGCCAGACUCUUAAUCUGGUGGUCGUGGGUUCGAGCCCCACAUUGGGCG